GUAUUCUUCGCGAAUGCUCAAAAUUUACGCCACUCUUCGACGUCGCAGCUCGUCGCUUCCCUAGGGAUGCCGCUGGCUGGUCACGGAUUGGCGCUUGAGUUUUCGAACCAGCGCACACUUCGACACUAUGAAGCCACGGAAUUCCGUGGCUUUUUG
rfam:Burkholderia glathei PML1(12) contig00182, whole genome shotgun sequence.